UACGAGGGGUGCAAGCGUUAUUCGGAUUAAUUGGGCGUAAAGGGUGCGUAGACGGUUUGUUAAGUCACUUGUUAAAUUCUUCGGCCUAACUGAAGGUGUGCGAGUGAUACUGGCGAACUAGAGGAUGGAAGAGAGAAGUGGAAUUCUCGGAGUAGCGGUAAAAUGCGUAGAUCUCGAGAGGAACACCAAUGGCGAAGGCAGCUUCUUGGUCCAUUCCUGACGUUCAGGCACGAAAGCGUGGGGAGCAAACAGG
rnacentral:rRNA from 1 species